AGUGAACGCUGGCGGUAGGCCUAACACAUGCAAGUCGAACGGCAGCACAGUAAGAGCUUGCUCUUACGGGUGGCGAGUGGCGGACGGGUGAGGAAUACAUCGGAAUCUACUUUUUCGUGGGGGAUAACGUAGGGAAACUUACGCUAAUACCGCAUACGACCUACGGGUGAAAGCAGGGGAUCUUCGGACCUUGCGCGAUUGAAUGAGCCGAUGUCGGAUUAGCUAGUUGGCGGGGUAAAGGCCCACCAAGGCGACGCUCCGUAGCUGGUCUGAGAGGAUGAUCAGCCACACUGGAACUGAGAAACGGUCCAGACUCCUACGGGAGGCAGCAGUGGGGAAUAUUGGACAAUGGGCGCAAGCCUGAUCCAGCCAUACCGCGUGGGUGAAGAAGGCCUUCGGGUUGUAAAGCCCUUUUGUUGGGAAAGAAAAGCAGCAGGUUAAUACCCCGCUGUUCUGACGGUACCCAAAGAAUAAGCACCGGCUAACUUCGUG
rnacentral:rRNA from 1 species